rnacentral:lncRNA from 1 species
AUGCAACCCCAUACGUCCCAGGCAGUGAGGAGAACAAGUAGCAGAUCCAUGCAGACUCUUCAGAAACUUGGUUCUCGUUUUUGUGCAAAUGAAGAAAUAUACAUGCAAGGAAAAGUUUUCCAUGUAGUUGAUAGCUCUUUUUUUUUUUUUUUUCCCCUUUCUUUCUCUCUCUUUCCAUUGACUUGGAAAUAUUUCCUCCCUGUAUCUAUAGGGGCAGGAACUCUAAAAACAAAAUGGGAUGGUUUCUCCUCUCCCUCCUCACCCUGGAUCCCUUAUAGGAAUCACAGAUGGAUGAUUUGAGAUGAGCCUUCAAGGAAAACGUAUCUUUCUCUCCACCGACGUCAAUUGUAAGAGAGAAUUUGGGCCCUGAAGAUUAAAAAUUUUGGCCUGUCUCUGAUCUGUAUUACAAGGACUCUUCGAAGUUAUGUCCAGGAAAGUUUGUACUAAAAACAGGAUUAAACUAGAAUGGAUGUGUAAGAGUUGGGUAUUUUUGUAAAAACGUUCAGUAAUAGAACUGAGGGGGAAAUGGAGCUUUCUCAACUGUAAUCCACUGGUCUGAAUUCAGCCCAGGUCAGUAGUGGUUGUGGUUGAGAUUUUCACAGGAGACUUAAGGGCUUUAGAUGGCAUGCUGCUUUAGGCUCCUUUUGAAAAUCCCAGAUAUUUUUAAAGCUCUUAGUCACUGUAAUAUCUGUAGACUUGUACAAAAUUGAGGCUACGGAUAGUUAAUCAACAUUGGUCUAUUUAUUACUUGGUCCAAAAUUACUUUCCACUUUUCUGUGAAUUUACUCUCCCGUGUCCACUGUCUGUCUUCUACUACCAACACCAUUUAGGUUAGGCUGAGAUUUUCAAAUGUGUGCAGGAUUUGGACACUCAGUUCCCAUUUAAAAAAUUAAUGGGAAUUUAACCGGCAUAUGCCAUAGAUUUGAAAAUCCUUAACCUAAAUGUAUUUAAACUACGUCUCCCUCACUCGCCUGACACCAGCGCAGACCCUUAUUUCGUGCUCCCAAUGUUAUCAUCCUCUCUCAUCCUUUUUUCUCUCCACCCCAAAUAUGUAGAUCCUUUCCCACUGAGUUGGCAGCCAUCACUGCACAUCACCUACAUAUUACAGCUCUUAUGUUGAACAGCAGGGAGGCAGUGAGAGAGAUGGAGCUGAGCACUAGGGCUGUGUGAACUGACUUCAGCAACGUGUGGUUUUGAGUUUUGACGUCUUGGGUUACAUGGAAGUCAGGACAAAAUCUCAAUGUCAUGAGCAGAGAUGCCAAGCUGGACCCUCAAAACCAGGGCCAUCCCAGAAAACAUG